rnacentral:lncRNA from 1 species
UCUCAAAGCCCCUGCCCCCACACUCACAGUGGAAUAUUUGCACAGUAACAAACCUCAAAUUUGCCCUCCUUCCUAGUGUCUUGCCAAUGAAAAGUGCUUCCGACUCUGACCCUAGUCCUGCUUAUGUUUGUUGUUUUGUUGUUUGUUUUUUCCAAGCAGAGCUAAAGCAAGCUCAGUACUAUUGGAGAUUUGGAAAGUGCCUUCACAUUGUCUUUGCCAAUUCUCACCUGAGAGCCCUGCAGACGCCCCACGAGAGGAAAAUCUAAGGCUGUACCCUUUACAAGGAGUCUCCAGUCAUACAGCUGAUUUUCCUCCGUCCUCUACUCCACCUCCUGGCUGCAGCAUACACAGAUUAUUGUCUUGAAUCUGACCCCAGUUGUUUAUUAAUUAUACCCCUUUUCAUGACACGGGAAGGCUAAGAUGAAGCUGUCUGGGAUGGAAAAG